AUUCUACUCCCUCCGUUGCACAAUACAUGUCUUCUAUUUGUCAAAAUAUAUAUGUAUCUAGACAUGUUUUAGUAUAUAGGUACAUCCAUUUUUGGAAAAUGGAAGUCAAGUAUUUUGGAACGGAGGGAGUACACA
rfam:Triticum aestivum genome assembly, contig: Triticum_aestivum_CS42_TGACv1_scaffold_222264_3B